UUCAAGUAUAGUCAUCUGGUUAAUCUCAAACCAGGUCAGCCUUGAUGUCUGGAAAACAGCUUUGCCAGGAACCAGGUCUUGCUAUAUUCUGGGGUGGGGGCCUACGGCUCUCCACAAAAACCUGAGUGCUCCAGGAGAGCACAGGGGAGGUCUUGAGCUGAGGCGAGGAAGAUGAGAAGAGAGGCAGGAGAUGCUCAGAUCAAAGGAUCUUAGGACUGGAGAACAAUGGCAUGAAGCACAAAAAAGAGAGGAGAGCCCAGUUAAGUUCUAGCUUCUGACUUUCGUGAUGAGCUAGAUGAAGGAGUCACAACACCAAGCAGAACUGUAUAAGAAAGACCUUUGCAGAUGCUACUAAGGGUCUCAAAAUGAGGAGAUGAUCCUGGAUUACCUGGAUGGGCCCUGGAUGUCAUCCCAGGUAUUCUGAAAGAGAGGCAGGAGGAGAUCAUUCACUACCACAACCAAGGAAUGUCAAGAGAAGGUGGAGGCCAAGAGGAGAGUGUGGUUUCCACAAGGUAACACCACCAGCUGGGGACCAAGCAUGCAACAUGUGAGCUGACAAGGAACAUUUCAGAUCUAACCCAUAACACCCCCAAGACUCUGCAGAGGAAAAGUAGCUCUUGCCUUCAGACUUCCAGCCCUCUAGUACUGAGAAAAUAAACUUUUAUUGUUGUAAGCCCUCAAGGUUGUGGUAAUUUGUUAUGGUCCUGAGAAAAAGAAUACACUCCCCAAACUCUCAGCUAUUUAGUUGAAAACCAGGACCCAACUCUACUU